CCGCGACUUUUAUACAAGUAUCAAAGUUCUAAGUGCGCGCUUAUUACGUUUAAUGAAAAAUUUAUCAAUGCCGCAAUGCCUCUCUCAAACCGACAUACAGAUAUACAUAUAAAAAGUAGGUUGAUAGAUGAGAAGGAACAGAUACGACGGAGUACAUGAGUGUGUGAAUUGUGCGUGAUGUAAUUGCGGGACAGAACAAUUCCAUCUUAAUCGCGCGCGAGAUGAAGUGCAGUGCGGAAACUCCCAGUCAAUUGUAUGGAAACAUUCCAAUCACGCUUGUAUGUGCUGCAUUUGCGAUGCCUUAGAGGUCUUCGGAGAUGACGAGGGACCACUGGUGGAAUCGGCCUUUCACAGCCCAAGACAACGUCAAGGUUCCGCCGAUAAGUACCAAGUUUCUACAUCGUCUGAAUAUCUGGGGAGAAGUCUCGGAGAAGUCAAGAUGCUCGAGAGUCUCAAGUUUUUAUUAUCUGAAAACCUAAAUCGCAAAUAAAUUGUGUGCCGGUGCGGUUCUGGUCCGAUCAAAGACUUAACGCAAAACUGCAUUCAAUAAACCAAAUGCCGCCGAUGUGGCUUAUCGAACUGCCAGAACAGAAAAAUACGUACAUACAGCAUGCUAUAUGGUAUACCGGUAUCUAAAAAGACGGGUUGCAGUUUUGUCCAAUCAAGUGGUCCUAUUGGCACACGUCGUUGGCUCGUAACCAAAGCCAUGAUCGAUCUCUAUUUGUAUCGGCCAGCAAUCGGAUAUUGGCCGAUGAACAUACGAAAAAGAGGAAGGCGUCGACCAAGGUAGCAAAAUGGUAGAUGUAAGCAAGAGAUAUCGCGGCGGGUGUGGUAAUAUUUUACCAAGUUCGUAAAUAAUAUUUGAAAUCGAUGUUAUCUGCGGCUUUACAGAAGUUCAAUAUAGUCUUAUUUUAAUUACGACAUGCUAUUGACGACGGAUCAAAGUAUCGACAAUGGACAUCUGAA